rnacentral:rRNA from 1 species
CCUACGGGUGGCAGCAGUGAGGAAUAUUGGUCAAUGGGCGGGAGCCUGAACCAGCCAAGCCGCGUGAGGGAAGAAGGUACAGCGUAUCGUAAACCUCUUUUGUCAGGGAACAAAGGCGGGGACUAGUCCCCGGAUGAGGGUACCUGAAGAAAAAGCAUCGGCUAACUCCGUGCCAGCAGCCGCGGUAAUCCGGAGGUUGCGGGCGUUAUCCGGAUUGAUUGGGUUUAAAGGGUGCGCAGGGGGCCUGUUAAGUCAGCGGUAAAAGCCAGGGGCCCAACCCCGGCGAGCCGUUGAAACUGGCGGGCUGGAGUUGGAGAGAGGUACGCGGAAUGCGCGGUGUAGCGGUGAAAUGCUUAGAUAUGGCGCAGAACCCCGGUUGCGAAGGCAGCGUACCGGCUCCACACUGACGCUGAGGUACGAAAGCGUGGGUAUCGAACAGGAUUAGAUACCCGGGUAGUC